rnacentral:rRNA from 1 species
AAACGAUGACAACUAGCUGUUGGGAGACAAGAUCUCUCAGUGGCGCAGCUAACGCUUUAAGUUGUCCGCCUGGGGAGUACGGCCGCAAGGUUAAAACUCAAAUGAAUUGACGGGGACCCGCACAAGCGGUGGAGCAUGUGGUUUAAUUCGAUGCAACGCGAAAAACCUUACCUACUCUUGACAUACUUGGAAGCUCUUGUAAUGAGAGUGUGCUUUUAGAGCCAAGAUACAGGUGCUGCAUGGCUGUCGUCAGCUCGUGUCGUGAGAUGUUGGGUUAAGUCCCAUAACGAGCGCAACCCUUACCCUUAUUUGCCAGCGGUUCGGCCGGGAACUAUAAGGGGACUGCCGGUGACAAACCGGAGGAAGGUGAGGACGACGUCAAGUCAUCAUGGCCCUUACGAGUAGGGCUACACACGUGCUACAAUGGGGAAUACAGACGGACGCUAAAGCGUGAGCUGGUGCUAAUCCUAAAAAAUUUCUCGUAGUCCGGAUUGCAGUCUGCAACUCGACUGCAUGAAGUCGGAAUCGCUAGUAAUCGCGAAUCAGCAUGUCGCGGUGAAUACGUUCUCGGGUCUUGUACACACCGCCCGUCACACCAUGGAAGUGUGUUGCACCAGAAGUAGGUAGUCUAACCUUCGGGAAGGCGCUUACCACGGUGUGAUCCAUGACUGGGGUGAAGUCAUAACAAGGUAGCCGUA